rnacentral:rRNA from 1 species
UACGUAGGGGGCAAGCGUUGUCCGGAAUCAUUGGGCGUAAAGCGCGCGUAGGUGGCGCUGCAAGUCGGUGGUGAAAGCUCGCCGCUUAACGGCGAGUCGGCCAUCGAAACUGCAGGGCUCGAGCACUGUAGGGGCUAAUGGAAUUCCGGGUGUAGCGGUGGAAUGCGUAGAGAUCCGGAAGAACACCAGUGGCGAAGGCGGUUAGCUGGGCAGUUGCUGACACUGAUGCGCGACAGCGUGGGGAGCAAACAGG